rnacentral:rRNA from 1 species
AGUGAACGCUGGCGAUAGGCCUAACACAUGCAAGUCGAACGGCAGCACAGUAAGAGCUUGCUCUUACGGGUGGCGAGUGGCGGACGGGUGAGGAAUACAUCGGAAUCUACUUUUUCGUGGGGGAUAACGUAGGGAAACUUACGCUAAUACCGCAUACGACCUACGGGUGAAAGCAGUGGAUCUUCUGACCUUGCGCGAUUGAAUGAGCCGAUGUCGGAUUAGCUAGUUGGCGGGGUAAAGGCCCACCAAGGCGACGAUCCGUAGCUGGUCUGAGAGGAUGAUCGGCCACACGGGAACUGAGACACGGUCCAGACUCCUACGGGAGGCAGCAGUGGGGAAUAUUGGACAAUGGGCGCAAGCCUGAUCCAGCCAUACCGCGUGGGUGAAGAAGGCCUUCGGGUUGUAAAGCCCUUUUGUUGGGAAAGAAAAGCAGCAGGUUAAUACCCCGCUGUUCUGACGGUACCCAAAGAAUAAGCACCGGCUAACUUCGUG